UACGUAGGUGGCGUACGUUAUCCGGAAUUACUGGGCGUAAAGGGUCCGCAGGCGGGUCACCAAGUCCGGCGUGAAAGCUCCCGGCUCAACUGGGAGAGGGCGUUGGAAACUGGUGGUCUUGAAUCUCAGAGAGGUCGGUGGAAUUCCCGGUGUAGUGGUGGAAUGCGUAGAGAUCGGGAGGAACCUCGAAAGCGAAGGCAACCGGCUGGCUGAAGAUUGACGCUGAGGGACGAAAGCGUGGGGAGCGAACAGG
rnacentral:rRNA from 1 species